rnacentral:rRNA from 1 species
GACGAACGCUGGCGGCGUGCUUAACACAUGCAAGUCGAACGGAACUUCUUGGAUAGAGGCUUCGGCCAAUUGAAUUGAAGUUUAGUGGCGGACUGGUGAGUAACGCGUGAGGAACCUGCCUUUCAGAGGGGGACAACAGUUGGAAACGACUGCUAAUACCGCAUAAUACUUCCGAAAGGCAUCUUUUGGAAGUCAAAGAUUUAUUGCUGAAGGAUGGGCUCAUGUCUGAUUAGCUAGUUGGUGAGGUAACGGCUCACCAAGGCGACGAUCAGUAGCCGGUCUGAGAGGAUGAACGGCCACAUUGGGACUGAGAUACGGUCCAGACUCCUACGGGAGGCAGCAGUGGGGAAUAUUGCACAAUGGGGGAAACCCUGAUGCAGCAACGCCGCGUGAGGGAAGAAGGUUUUCGGAUUGUAAACCUCUGUUUUUAGUGAAGAAACAAAUGACGGUAGCUAAAGAGGAAGCCAACGGCUAACUACGUGCCAGC